CAUGAAUGUGUACAAUUAUUGUCAAUUUAAAAAUACAAUUUUAAAAACACUCAUUUUAUUUUUUUAAAUUAAUUGUUCUUAUUUUAAAAAUUAUUAUUUUUUAGGGAUGGGAUCUCACUGCAUUGCUCAGGCUGGUCUCAAACUCCUGGGCUCAAGCAAUCUUCCUGCCUUAGCUUCCCAAAGUUCUGGGAUUACAGGCAUGAGCCACCACUCCCAGCCAAAAAAAAAAAUACUCAUUUAAAGCUGCACAAGUUUGAUGGCACAAGUCUGUAUAACUGGACCUGUGCCUUUAUAAAACCUCAAACACUGCAAAGGUUCAUGAAACAAUGUAUAUCUAUUCUUCUUAUUCACUGUCAUCAAUGCUGACCAGGGAAAAUUGCACAGGUGCACGUGUGUGUGUGUGUGUGUAGGGCUAGUGAAGCAGGCAACUACCAGAGAUACAUUAUUAAAAAGCUAACAUUUAUUGGCCAGGCGCGGUGGCUUACGUCUGUAAUCCCAGCACUCUCACGGGUGGUGCCUCCCCGGCAAUGGGGGUCCCAAGAUCCAGGGGGGGAAAAGGGGAUGGCUCUCAGCCACCACAAAAUGGGGGGCCUUUAUGUUCAGGUUUUGCCCAAGAGUCAGCUUAUUUGCUUCUUGUACUAGCAGGGCAGUUGCUGCCAAGGCCUCAAACAGGGGAGCCAUCCUUCAGAAACCCUGUCUAGUUGUUCAGAGACGUAGGCCACCGGCCUCAGCCAGGGCCCCACAGUUUGGGUUAAAAGUCCAGCUGCCAUCUUUUCUCUCUCUAACGCAUACAAUGGAAAAGGCUUUGUCAGAUCGGGUAGCCCCAGGGCUGGGGCUGCCAGAAGUUUUUCCUUUAAGUCAUGAAAGACUUGCUGUUCUUGGAUCCCCAUUCCAAAGGUUCCGGUCCCCGCCCCCUUUGUGACCUCAUACAAAGGCUUGGCUAAUACUGCAAAGUUUGGGAUCCACAGUCUACAAAACCCCACAUCCCCUGAGAAUUCUCUCGCCUGCCUUAGGCACUUAGGCUCCGGGAGAUUGCAAAUAACCUGCUUUCUUUCUGUUCCCGGGCUGCGUUCGGACUCCUGUCAGAUAGUAAAUCCUAAGUGGCGUCGGACCCCUGUCAGAGAGUAAAUCUCAAGUAAGGUACCUGCCAUCGGCAGAUUUGAGCUUUCUUCUUGGACACCUAAUACCCACAGUCCUCCAGGCUCCGGUAGACUGCAAAUGACCUGCUUUCUUUCUGUUCCCGGGCUGCGUUUGGACCCCUGUCGGAUAGUAAAUCCCAAGCUCCGGUAGACUGCAAAUGACCUGCUUUCUUUCUGUUCCCGGGCUGCGUUUGGACCCCUGUCGGACAGUAAAUCCCAAGUAAGGAAUGGAACAGAUAAGAAGAUACUGAAAUUGGACGGUGCUGCCGUGCGGCUGCCGCAGGACACCUUUAAUAUCCCUGUUUCUCAGGCUGUAGAUGAAGGGGUUCAGCAUGGAGGUGAUCACCGUGUACAUCACUGAGGCCACUGCAGCCUUUCUCGGGGAAGAUGACACAUCUGAACUGAGGUACCCUCCAAAGCCUGUUCCGUAAAAUCAGCAAACAACUGACAGGAUAACUUCAGGAAGUGGGUAUUAAUUCUCACGGUAUAAGUGAAGACAUUAAGCACCAGAGUUUAAGUAGCUUGAUCCACUGAAAGAGAUUCAACUGUGUGGAACCUAUGCCGUGGAGAAUUGCUUUCUGCCAUUGUUAUCGUCCAGCAGUUGCCGAAUAGCUCUGACCUGAGCAAAGCAGUGAAACGCGGUGCUGUUGAGUGGGUUGCCACUGCACCUUUUUCAACUACUCUAGUCUUGUGGAGAAAAUACCCCUUCUAAAUUUUUUCUUCAUUGAAUACUCUCCCUCAGCUCCAGAGUACCAUAUAGAGUUUUCUUGUAUUUUAGAGUUACUGUUUUAUCAAAGUUUACCAGUCUUUUGUAUUACAUUUCUCCUGUCUAAAUCGACUGUGUGGUUUCUACUCAUUAUGGAUAUAGAUUGAUACAAACUCAAUAAAUAUUUUUGAAUGAAUAA
rnacentral:lncRNA from 1 species